AUUAACUAAAUAUAACAUUUGAGCUAAGAGUCAAGUUGGUAAUUUUUCUUAUAUCUACCGCUUUCGGAGCCCAGGUAUCAUACACACCUCCAAAAUAAAGAGUCUUGAAUAUUAGAAGAAAAACACCUAUACUUAACAAAAUUAAAUGAAUACCCAAAAUUAUGGUCAUUUUAUUUCUAUCUUUCCA
rnacentral:antisense_RNA from 8 species